UGGGGAAUCUUGCACAAUGGGCGAAAGCCUGAUGCAGCAACGCCGCGUGAGUGAUGAAGGUCUUCGGAUCGUAAAGCUCUUUCGGCAGGGAAGAAAGGUCCUGGUGCAAAUAGCGCCAGGGUUUGACGGUACCUGCAGAAGAAGCACCGGCUAACUCUGUGCCAGCAGCCGCGGUAAUACAGAGGGUGCGAGCGUUGUUCGGAAUUAUUGGGCGUAAAGCGCGUGUAGGCGGAAUGGCAAGUUGGGUGUGAAAGCCCUCGGCUCAACCGAGGAAGUGCGCCCAAAACUACCGUUCUUGAGUGCCGGAGAGGGUGGCGGAAUUCCCGGUGUAGAGGUGAAAUUCGUAGAUAUCGGGAGGAACACCAGUGGCGAAGGCGGCCACCUGGACGGACACUGACGCUGAGACGCGAAAGCGUGGGGAGCAAACAGGAUUAGAUACCCCCGUAGUCC
rnacentral:rRNA from 1 species